rnacentral:lncRNA from 1 species
UGAAGUAAAAACAAUUCUGAUAUUAAGUAAUACAUAAUGUUGAAGGAAGCUACGUGCCAAAGAAUUGGCAGCGGUUUUAGGUUAUAGAUUGUGGUCCUUUAUUUGGCAUAAACAUGUCCAACUUUUAGGAUAACGAGAAAGAGAAGAAGUUGAUCUCUCUCAUUUUUGAGCGUCCAGCAUUAUGAAAUAAAACGCACAGCCAAUGGAUGAACAGUCGUUACAUGGGCAAACAGUAGGACGAAAUAACAAAAAUGAUGAGUACAUCGCAUAAAGAUAAAGCAAGAAACAAAUGGAAAAGUUUGUGUUCAAAGUAUACAGUCGAAACCUCUAAACUACAAAGUUUGCGGUCAGGUGCUAAAGCUGACUAAGUUGUAGGAAGUAACUGGCCACACUUUAAGUCUUUGCGAUUUUUGAAAAAUGCGCUAACCAAUGAGUCAUCUGAAAAUGUUGAUGUGUUGCAACCAACCAAAAAAUUACAUAAAUCAAAUGAUGGCAUUUCUACCAAUGCUAUUAAUAAAGCCCUACAUGAUGAAGCAGGUUACUCUACCGAGAACAAAUGUUCUGAAAUCCCUGCUAAAUUACAGAGCCCCUUGGACAAAAUAACCUUUGAAGAAGCAGAUUCGUAUCAAUUCUUAAGUUUGAUACCAUAUGUAAGAAAAAUCACGAAUGAAAGAAAUAGAUUGAAAUUUCGACUGGAAGCAAUGUAUAUCAUAACUGAAUUUGUUGAGGAAGAAGGAAAAAAACUUGAGUAAAACAGGAAGAACCUUUUUCUGUUAAAGUAAAGCAACAAAAUCCUGUUUCUGCUGAAUCGAAGAAGGAAAAACUUAUUUCUGCUAAUGUAAAACAGGAGAAGCCUGCUUUUCACGAAGUAGAAAAAGAAAAUAAUGCUACAAAUGAUAUAAUAUAUUUAGAUGACAAAGAUUGCAUGAUUGUGGAGGUUGAAUCGCUGCUAAAAAAAUUAAACUCGAUAAUCAAAAAGUAUCAGCAAGGCUGAUCAAAAAGAAAUUUAAAAUGUCAAAGGAGUUCGAUGAGUAUGUUGUAAAUUAUUUCUUUGUUAAGAGAGAUAAUCAAUUUCUCAUGCGAUAGGCCCUCUUACAACUUAAGAUGAAUGGUGAAAGUGCGAAAAGGGGUUUCAUCCUUAUGAUUAGGAGUGUUUGUGUAAUGCUUGUAUCGCUUAAUAUAACAUUAUAUUAGUUUUGGAUGUUAUUUGUAUAUUUUUAAUAUUCAAGAAGGGGUCGUUCUACUUAAUUUAAUAAUAAAUAUACAAAAACGGUUUUUAUACCAAUCAUUUAGUUUGAAAAAAAUAAAAUUUUUUCUGUAAUUCCAGAUCAAAAUAAUAUUUUAUAUAGUAUCAUAUUAUAUUAAAUUGUUUUAUUUAGUAUUAGAAUAGAUGUAGUCCUAUUAUUUUUUAAAUCAAACUUAUGUUUUUAAAGUACUUAUAAAUACACAUUUUAUAUAGGUGUUACGUGUGAGGGUCGAUGGUUUUGUUCUCCGUGAGGUGUUAAGCUCACGGUUACUGCGAAAAUACCGGGGUAAUGAAUGAACACGAGAGAUUAUCGGUGAAUGUGUCUGUUUAUUAAUCGUAAUUCACAAUGGACUGAUUGUAUGAAAGAGAGAACGCGUGUUAAAGUGAUCUCGGAGAAUGUGUGUUCUAAGUAUACGAUCCUAUCAGUCGUCUCCGAGUCAAAACUACCUGUCUAGUGCUGGAUCGUGAGUGGCGGAAUCGAAAGGGAGCACCCGCAUGCACCCCUUUUUAUAGACUCCCCGGGUGGUGUGAUUCCUACCCGCUCGGUCGUCCGAAAUCGUGGAAGGGAGGUUAUGCUGAAUCGGAUGAAACGGGCUUCGGGGUGAGUCCGAGCUGUUGCUGUGCGCGUAUUUGGUGACUUAUGCAUCGAUUGCAUUAUAACUAGCAACGCGAUAUACUUGUGAGUAUUCACACGUGACAUAGGAUUAUGCAUGAAAUAUUUUCUGAGUUCAUCUCUCACUUCUUGGCCAAGGCCUUUACUUGAUGAACAUGCAUACUUAACGUCUCAGACUAUUGAUCACGCAGCAUCUGAUGACUGAGAACUCGGUUGUGUCUCAUAAAUAUCUCCUUCGAGGUCUAUGAUAACGUUGUAGAGGAUCUUCGCAAAGCUCGCAUAGCUAAUUGAAUGUAGGUGCAUGUGCAUUCGUCUAGUAUAUAUUAUUUAUCACAUAUGUGGGGGAAUUCACGUUGGCUGCACUGUCAAAAAGAUAGACCAAAAUACUCUCGGGUAUCUUCGGUAUAAUCUUGAGUAUCCUCAGUAUACCCUCGGGGACUUCCGGUAUACCCCCGGUAUACCCCUGGUAUAUCCUCGGUAUAUUCGAAAAUAUCUUGGAUGGCAUCGAGUACCGGAGGGCAGCCGUAUACGCACCGCGCCGUCGGUGUUGGGGUGAGAGUAAAAAUUUUGAAAAAUAAAUAUUUAAAAGACGAAAAUUACAAAUUGAAUUACAACGGAAGGUAAAAUUUUGAGUCCCAGAAUAUUGGAAAGGUAUGAUUCUGAAAACCUAAAUUUGAAAAUUCCUAAAAAUAUCGCUUUUGCAAUAUUUUAACUACAAAUAUCACCUUUCGCAAUAUUUCAAUUCAACAUUUUUGUUUUAUAAAUUUUUUCAUUUCAAAAUCUCAUCCCCGGCGUUGCUGCCGCCGCUUGCAAAUACUGACGCAAGAUGGCAGUAUGUCUGAGGUGACCGCGAACUCCAAUUUCCAUGUACCCGCACGUUGAAGUUAAAAUUACUUAACCCACCCGCCACUGUGAGGACGCUAGAGAUAUAAGCGAUGCAGUUUUCAAUUAUGCAAAGUAUACAGGGUGAGAAACAAAAUUUUGAAGCUUAAUAUCUUUGAAAUCAACUGGUAUAUAUAUACACAAUAAAUAAUAAACAACCCAAAGAAAGGAAUCAAGAUGCUAUUUAAUACUAACUAAAUCCAAAAUUUUAAAUUGAUUAUUGCCUUUUUACUCCAGUUAUCGCGUCACGUAUAAAAACGACUUUUUUCAGUUGUUGAUGUUUUUCUCAUCUGCCCCAUAAAAUGACCUAAAAUUAAAUUAUAGACCUAAUAACUUCCAAUAAUCAUGAUUUUUUUAGAAAGAUUCAAAAUUUAGUUUUCGAGUUGAAACAAUUUCAAAAAUUUGCGCUUUAUAGUGUGUAAUUAAAAAGCGACGAACGAUAAUAUAAAUUUUCCGCGGUAAAAAGAUAGGUAAUUUUAUUCUCUUUCAGGUACAUUGUAAGCAAUUUACUUGCAUCAAAUUUUUGAAUAACUUUAUUAGAAAAAACUGAAAUCUCAAAACUAAAAAAUCGAUAUAAAAAUAAACGGAUCCAGAAAAUGUAAAAACGGACUGUUAUUCCGCUAUGUACUAGUAAAAACAAAGAAAAUGAGAUUUGGUGGAAUAAAAUCUACUGAGUAGAAGCUGAGCUAGAGGCGAUACGAACGAACACACACACGCACACACAUAUACACACACUUCUAUACGAACAUUAUCUGAAAACACUAUUUUUCGACUUAAAAUGCCUCAAAACAUAUUUCCUACAUGUUUUUUAUACAAACUCCAAAAAUUACCAUUACAAGGCGUCCUUAAGAAGGAAGCAAAAAACUAAUAAUGCCUGUAAAUAACUGUUGUCUUUGUCUCAAUUCCGACAUUCUUUUACUGAAAAUUUCUGUUUUUUUUUCAGUUAUCUUCUGUUUUAGUCUUAAAUCUUUAGAUUAUGUGCAGAAUUUUUCUAUAGAAAAUUAUGAAAUUUUAUAUAAAAUCAUAUUUCAUAUCCUUACAUAAAGAUCAAUUAAUUUCAUUGUCAUUUUAUUUAAUACUUAUCUAAAUUAUUAAAUAAGUCAGUAUUUAAAAUAUAUUUUGAUAUAGUGUGCGUAAAGUGCACUAUUACGCACGCUCCGCCUGCGUUCAAGCACAUUUUCCGCUCCCUGUAUCGGAAAAUAACGUUCGCAUGCAAAAAAUUGAUUUUUGAAAUAUUAUAAAUAGAUAAAAUUCAGUUGUCAAUAAUAGAAUGACACUUUAUUGAUUGCGGAAUCACUAUAAGUUACUCACCUGAAAUUUUAUUAUUUAAUAUUUUAAAAUCAAAAUAUUGCUUGGAAUGCUUCAAUGCAUCUAUUUUCGAAUACGGUUUCACAAUUUAAAAAAUAAUUUUUAAUUAUGACAAACUUUAUAAGAGUAUUUUAGAAGUAAACCUAAUAGUAGAGAUGUCAUUUGAGAUUUAUCAAUAGGGAUGACUAUAGAUAAUUGAUGAGAACGUUAAAAUAUUAAAAAUUCACAUCAGCUUGGGGUGUGCAGUCGCACGGCUCGUGGGAAUAUAUAUAUAUAUAUAUAUAUAUAUAUAAAUAUUAUAGUAAACAUAUAUAAAACAUUAAUCAAAGUAUAUCAUUUAUUGUGAUGUUUAU